ACCUCCCCCACCCCCGAUGGGCAGUGAGCUGGAGGGUGCUUUGCUUGUGGCAGGCUGGAGCCCACUCGUGACGGGUUAUUUUAUAGGUUGUGGGCAUGAAACCUGCAAACUCUGAAGCUGGAACCCACUCGUGACAGGCUACGGGGCUGAAACCUGCAGGCUGCCAGGCUGUGACCCGCUUGUGGCAGACUGGGAUCAAAGCCCCCUUGAAACAGGCUGCAGGGCUGAGGCCGGUUUGUACCGGGCUGAAUGUCUGGGGCCCACUCGUGCCAAGCUGAGGGGACUGGGACCCACUUAGGGCUGAUUGUUGCCUGCCUGUGACAGGCUGUGUGACCAUAGCCCUGCCUGUGACAGGCAGCAGGGCUGGGGCCCUCCUGUGCUGAGCUGCUGUGCUCUGUGCAGCGAGGGCUGGGGAACUGGCCGAGCCUGCAGCCCCUGGGUGAGUGCACCAUGCACUGGGCUGAGAGCUGCCGGGGGGAGCCCGGGGCCCGGCUGAGCAGGGUGCUCGGGGCUGUGCAGCCCCUGGGUGAGGGCACCAUGGGCUGGGCUGAGAGCUGCCGGGGGGAGCCCGGGGCCCGGCUGAGCAGGGUGCUCGGGGCUGUGCAGCCCCUGGGUGAGUGCACCAUGCACUGAGCUGAGAGUGGCCGGGGGAAGCCCGGGGCCCGGCUGAGCAGGGUGCUCGGAGCUGUGCAGGGUGCUCGGGGCUGUGCAGCCCUGCAGAGGAGCACCUGAGGAGCCCUUACCCCUCAUCGCUAUUGUUCCAAGAGCACGAGGCCGGACACAGGUGGUGCACAUAAAACCUUCAGUGCACCACCUGCUUGGAGGUGCAGGGCAACACAGGUGCCUUUAAUAUACCUCCCGAAACAAGAGCUGCUUUAGCCUUGGAGUUGCCUUUCUGGCUGGGCAGACGCUGCAGACUGCUGCUGUGACCACACAGCAUGGUAGCUGGGUUUGGCACGCAGGGCUGCACGGCUGGAAGCGACUUGCUGAGCCUGGGAUACUGCGCAGGAUGAAGCUGGCUGCAGGGCACAAUUCCAGUGGACUUCCUAGGAAUGGGGCUCCUCAUCCCGGCACGCUGCUUUCUUUCUCAGUGUGAGACAGCUCAAGCUCAGAGGUAGCUCAGGUAGAAAGCUGCAAACCGCAGAAAUUAAUCUUUGCUGACAAAAGCUUCCCGACUAAGCGCUGGUUCUGGAUUUGAGGACGUGCCUGAAGUUGCAGUUUGUCAGAAGAGCAAACCCAGGGCUCGUGAUGUGACUCUGGACAUCAGAUGUGACAUCUCAGAAGUCUGUGAUUACCAUCUCUCCUGGGUGCUAAUGCAACAG